UGAUCACUGGAAAUUUGCAAAGCUGCUGUUUUGAUCAACCAUGUUAGUGUUUGGAGCUGAUGUGCUGCUGUUCCUUGCCAUGAGAUGAGUUCCUACUCUUCCCUUGUCUCAGGUUGUUCAUUUAUUCAGUUAUAAUCGACUUGCCGUCACUGAUCUCUGUUACUGCUAACAGCUGUAUGAAAUACAUCAAGAAGCCGAGAAAAAGAAGUUUGGAUGCAAUGAUUCAAGAGAAUGCAGGACAGCAAGAAGCCAAGAGAAAUAAGUUAAGGUUCAAGAAUACAGAGAGAGAGAACAAAAGAGGGACAGGGGGGAAGGGGAGCAGCCGUCUUACUCCGCUGCCGCAGCUGGCGGCCCAUGCUGCCGCCGUUUUCUUCUCCCCCUCUGCCAUCUCCCCACCUCUGCUUCGGCUAGGCCACAGGGGUGCACACCCGCAAACCCUACACCUCCUCUCGCUAUCUCUCUCACACGGAGAACAAACAAGGGCCAACCACGGAGAUGAGGCGACGAUCCCUGCGACGGAGGGAUCGAUCACGGCUUUCCCUCACGCAGGAGUGUGGCCUUCUCUUCGAGCUUAGGACAACCCCAACGAUUGGUCCCCUAUUCAAUGUGUCGUGUUCAUCUUGAAGAACGGAUGAGCCAUAUAAUAUAACUAAGUUGCUGGGAGUGUCAGAACUAUUAAGAUGAUUGUAGUUGAUAAAGAUCACAAUGCAUGGCUGCGCACAACAUCAUUAUGCACACGUGCAUGGUGGCGCAUAGCUCUGCCUCCACGGAACAUCAUCUGUUCUUAUUUAAACCAAAGGCCGUACUGUUACUGCUGGUGGAAUCGCCUUAUCCGCGCUUCCUUCGGAUUGUUUUUUUUAUCGCGCUGCACCUGCUCCUCUUGAUUCUUUGAUCUGUGUGCUUUUUGCCAGCAUGUUUCUCUUUCUGUAGCAAAAUUGGACUUUUUUUUUACUGAAUUUGUUAUUCUUCUUUGAACCAUUUUUCUACAAGCCACAUAAGGAUUUUUGAUGUGCUAGCCUCGGUCCAACUCAUUCACGUAAUUUAAUUUAUAAUUUCUUAAUGGCAUCAGCAUUUCUACAUUCACAACCAAAGAAUCAUUAUGUAUUGUAAAACUAUUAAAUUUAUUAGAUCCAGACGCUUCGUAUAGCUAAUGCUUUAUUUACAUGUUUUAGGGCCUAGCUGAUGGACGACCAACUCAAUUUUCAUACAAGGAUAAAUUAACUGUUCGAAUCACUAGGAUAUGGGAAUAUUGAAGCGGUGAUAGGACUGAAUUAUAUGGUCAGAACUUCGUCAUGGUAGACUCCAAGGUAAGACUCGCACAAUUGUUCAUGCUUUCUGAUCUAUCCUUACCAUGUAUCACGCAAAUUAAUAGAGACCAUCUGCCUUACUAGGAUGGCACGAUAGAGGGAGCAAUUCCUAAAAAAAGAAUGCACAUCUUUGAUAAUAGAGUUCGCGAAGGAGCAGUUUACAAGAUUGGUUCCUUUGAAAUCGCUAAGUUCAGAGAGAAAUAUAGAGCGACAGAGCACCCAUCCAGGUUCCUGAACCAAAUUUUUUUCCCCAAGUUUGGAUACACAACCUAUCCUAUAGCAUACUUCGAAAAACAAAUUCGAUUGAAUAUAAACCUGUCAAGUCAGUUAAUUACAGACGCAUUUCCCUUGGAAUGCUGACUGUAGUGUUUACAUCGGUAGUUCAUUUAUCCAUUUCCUAUGCACAGAUGUUGGUUUAGUUACAGGCAUUUUCUACCCACUUUUACUAUGCACAGAUGCUGACUGUAGUGUUUACAUCAGCUGAGCGAAGGGGACAGUUCCAUAUCACUGAUGGCUAGUACGCAUUUCACAUCUUUUGCUCCCACUUUUUAUUCAUUUUUUUGCUAUGAUACAAUCUUAUACAAAGAAAUUGCAUCCUACUUUUAGAACGUGUGCUGUUGUUACUAUGGGGAGGGGAAAUAUGCGGAUGCACUCGAUGCCGCCUAUAGACUACAGUGAUGGUCAAAUGAUGGACCUGUUGUUCUAUUGUUUUUUCUUCCAAGAAACUGCCAGUCUAUUCAUCUUUAAUCAUGGCAAUACAAAGAACAACAAGAACAAUAGAGGUAAUAAAAAGGAAGCGGCGAUUCGGUGCCCGAGCGCAGCUGCUCCCGAAAUCGCUCGUGUCCGUUUCUAGCUCGGGAUGCGAAUAAAGCCCACUGGCGCGUCAGAAGCGAGCUGCAGAAAAUCGGGCAUUCGCAUGAAUACGGGUAUGAAACAGUGGCUCUUUUGUGGGCCCAAGGCGAAGGGAAGGGACGGAGGAAGCGAGCUGGCGUACUGGGCCGUGGACCAGGACGUUACGGAUUUAGCCGGGCCAUGGACCAGAUAAGGGGCCCCGAACAGUUGUCCACAUCUGAGUGGGUCGUUCUGGAAACCCUCGCCGCCACCCCUCUUCGGGCAGAAGCACCGCUAUCCCUUCUCCUCUAGUGCUUGCGGCGGCGCUCGUCCUGUCCGGGCGCCGACGGUUGAAAGGAGGAGGAUGGUAUGGAGUUCCUGCUUUACGCCAUUGACAGAGUUCACCGACAGCCUUGAUCACCAGAUUAGGUUCCCCUCGUGUUCUUAUCGGGCAACGGAGCUGCCCCUGCAGUUCCUGCUGACUCUAAUGCUGGGUCUGGUUGCGCUGAAAAGGUCGGGGACGAUGGCGCAGGUAGAGCGCGUGAAGGAGUGUGCCGUCGCCGGGACGCAUCUCCGACAAGAUCGGCGCAGUCGACUCGCAGAGUCAAUCCAGAAGCACCUGGCUGGCCAAAAAGGAACUCGACUCUAUACCUCAAAGCCACGGAAGUCGUGCGGAUGGGCGAUGCGAGUGCAGAAUCUUUUGAUCACAUGUUUGUUGGUCUCUGAAGCUCUGCUUGUGAGUGGCGCACCUUUGGUAGAGAAGAGGGAUGGUUUGGGUUUUGAGGACUGUAUGGCAGGUCUGGCAACUGGGAGAAUGGAUGGCAAUGGCGAAGUCGCAUUUGUUGGGGACAACGGUGCUGACCAGUGCCAUAGUGGUGGGCACUCAUUCAGUGUGAAUACCCUUCAGGGUCUUGCAGCUCCAGAUAAACAUAGAGGGUCACAAAAGAACAACAUACCUGGAAAGAGGGGAGUAAGGCCCCAUACGAAGGUCUGAGUAAGCGAACCAGGUUCUGUAGCAUUUGCCAUCGCGAGGGUCACAAAAGAAUAACAUGCCCAGAAAGCGGGGAUGCCCCCAAGAAGCCACGGAAGCCGGGAAAAUGCAAGCACUGAGGGAUGGAAGGACACCGACAGAACACUUGCACAAGGCCACUGUGAGUUACUGAAAAAUGAGUUAUGAAGUUUCGAUUUGUAAUAUCUGCUGGAAAUUCGAAUUGCUGGAAAGAUUAAAUGCAAGUGUUGCUGUGGCAUCACGCAAGGGCAGUAUAAAGAGUGCACGACGGCCAGCUGCUACCUUGCCUUCCACCUUUGUUGUCUAAUUAAAAAAAAUUGAAGCUAGCUUCUGCAGCCGCUGGCGCGGACGUUUGCUGAAUCUGGCUUCAGUGGCAUGACCAGGAGCUGUGAAGGAGGCUAUUCAGUCAGCGGAAUGAAGGGUUCAGUCAUCUGCCUGCCUCUUCAGUGGUGGACUCAGCGGCGACCGCUUGGAGUACAACACAGCUGCUGGCGCAAGAAGAUGGCAUGAUUGAGGAGGUAAAGUGGAAUCGUCUUUGUCUGACGGUGUGUACCUUUUCUGUACGGAGAGGAGACAUACAUGGAUUUUCAGGGGGAGGUGAUCCAACGGGAUUGCUGUUGUGUGUUGAAGCAAGAGCUGGACGAGGAGGGAGGACAAGAUUCAGUAGAAGGCUUCGGCGACCACGAUCCUGCCGAUGCAGAGGGGAUAGAGGGUGGAAAACAUAUCUUGCAUAAUUUGAUGUGGCCGAAGAAAUUGAAUCCGAUGACGAUGAAGAAGUGAGCAGCAGGAGUCAAAGCGGACGCCGUACUCAGGCAUGAUAUGCGAUUACGGCGUGUAUGGCAUCAGAUGAUGUAAUCCUUGUAGGGUUUCUGAAUGUGCCGACAUGAACACUGCUCGCUCAUGUGCAUCAUUAGUUCGACCAGUUAGUGUGCCCAAUGUUAGUUGUUAUUAGGGAGAAGUGGUUGCCCAAUGUAUCCAACCGUAGGAGGGCCCGUGAAUGUCCCAGUCCGGCUCAGAUACAUGGCUGAGCCAUCCGACCGCAAUCUGAUCCGGAGCCACGUCGCAUUGAUUGCGAGGCUGGGCUGAACUAAUUUUGGCA